rnacentral:rRNA from 1 species
GUGGGGAAUAUUGGGCAAUGGGCGAAAGCCUGACCCAGCAACGCCGCGUGAAUGAAGAAGGCCUUCGGGUUGUAAAGUUCUGUCCUAUGGGACGAAGAAAGUGACGGUACCAUAGGAGGAAGCCCCGGCUAACUACGUGCCAGCAGCCGCGGUAAUACGUAGGGGGCGAGCGUUGUCCGGAAUUACUGGGCGUAAAGGGUGCGCAGGCGGCGCUUUAAGUCAGAUGUGAAAUACCCGGGCUUAACUCGGGGGGUGCAUUUGAAACUGGAGUGCUUGAGUGCAGGAGAGGAAAGUGGAAUUCCUAGUGUAGCGGUGUAAUGCGUAGAUAUUAGGAGGAACACCAGUGGCGAAGGCGACUUUCUGGACUGUAACUGACGCUGAGGCACGAAAGCGUGGGGAGCAAACAGGAUUAGAAACCCGUGUAGUCC